rnacentral:lncRNA from 1 species
CACCCACACUCCUCUGUCCCCACACGGCCCACUGGGCUCUGCACGACUGCUGUGUCCAAAGCAUUGUCCCCUGCAGAAGUUGCGCCAGUCCUCCCUCCACCUCUUGCUGCACUCAGACAGGAAGGCAGUGAAGCCAGACAGGAAGGCAGUGAAGCCAGACAGGAAGGCAGUGAAGCCAGACAGGAAGGCAGUGAAGCCAGCCACGCCAGCCUCAGAGCAGGCACUGAGGGCACUGACGCUCACCCUGGCCCUGCAGAAUCUGUGGAGGAUGGAAAAUCAUGUUAAUCUGUAAUUAAAAAAAUAUAUAACAUCAAAAGGCAUGGACGACUCCCUUUUAAAAAUAACCGCAAUACCGUCACCACACACAGAAAAUUAAGAUUUCUUUAAUGUCAACACCUAUGCUAUCUGUGUUUGCCUUCCUCCAACAGUCUCAUGAACAUUUUAAGAUUUGCUUGCCUGAACUGGGAUCCCAACGAGGUCUACACUUUGUUCUGAACUCAUGCAUCCCUUAAGUGUCUCACUCUACCAGUUUACUCUACAUCUC